AACGCACAUUGCGCCUCUAGGUAUUCCUUGAGGCAUGCCUGUUCGAGCGUCGUUUGACCAUAAGGCUUUGCCUUGCGUUGAGCCGUCCGACGAUUUCGGUCGCCGGAGGUUCCAAAACGAUUGGCGCCGUAGUCUGCCAGUGUUGCACCCUCGUGCCGCAUCUCCAGACGAAAGCCGCCCUAAUCCAUCAAUAAUUUAUCAGGUCGACCUCGGAUCAAGCAAGACUACCCGCUGAACUUAA
rnacentral:misc_RNA from 1 species